CGUCUCUGCGGCGGAGAACGCUCGUCAUCCUGAUGCGCGUGCUUUGUCAGCUCUUUAAAUGUCUUCUCCAGCUUCUUGUCCUAUACAGAACAAAAUAAAUAUACUUGUAUGUGCAAGUUUAUUGGCCAAAGACGACUACUGUGGUAUUCAAACCUACUCCCUGGUACAGCAUCUUUUUAAGAUUAGUUAAUGGUCAUUAAAAUGUCUGCUAAAUGCUCUGAGGCCUACCCAGUCUCCUAUCCAAUGGGUGUCAGGCGUUCUUUCCCCAAGGGUGUAAAGCAGACGAGGAGUGAAACCGACCACUCGCUGAGGUCAAGGAAAAGCUGUACCUCCACUGCCCCAUACAUCUUUAGGGUGUGGUGCUUGGUUCUCACUACCCUGAUAAUGGAGUCAAUAAUCUCCUCAAUACUACCUACUAGACUACACAGCAUAACAUCCCAGAAGACAUUCAUCUUCAGUGUGGAAAGUGGAAACUGAGAUGCCACCUUGUGACAGGAAUGCAAUUGUGCGCAACCCAAGUAGCUCAGGUGCAUACUACGUACAUCACUCAACUGUCGGAACGCAGCCCCCGACAAACCCUUAACAGUCCACGCAAGUCAUUUACAUGCCAUUUAAUAUUAGUUGUGCUCUAGAAGCAGCAUUCAGUCUGACAAAUUAACUUAAUUUACAAUCUGGCACAUUUACAGUGUAGUCUCAGUCUACAGACACGGUAUUUGAGAGCACAUUACUCUGGACAAUAUUCUGGGAUAAGUUUGAGAAAACUGCUGUUCUAAAUAUGGUUUGGAUUGGGACAGACAGUAAAUGUAGUAUGCAUGGGAGAGA